CGCUCUGUAGGGUGUAAAUUCGAAUAUGCUUAUUGUUAGAUACAAAUAAUUAACCCAGACACUGAAGAAUGACUCCCCUCUUUUUCAAACAAAAGCUUAACAGGCAAGAGAAAUAAAAAAGGAAUUGCCAAAAAUAUAUAUAUUCUCCUACUAGAAACUUCAGCUCGUCUUAAAACCCAGUAGAAUGAAAACAUAGAGCCUUCUGAUUGUCUUCAUACACUCUCGCAGGAUAUGGAACACAGUAUCUGAAGGUCUUCCUCAGUGUGAGUGAUUCGCUGUAAAAUUACAUCCUGAAGCGUGACCUGUGAAGUGACGAAACCGGUUAAAAAAAUUAGUAAAGGAGAGAAAAAACUGAAAUGUGGAAACUUGAUUAAAUAUAUAUAUUAUCCAAAAUGCAGAAGAAUGAAGAGAAAACACAACAAUAUCUGCUCACAUCCCGCCCCUUUAAUCUAGGGUGGGGCGAAUAGUGGGCGUGCCGCGGGUUAAUUUGGCCCAUUGGUGGCCUCUAGCGGAGGAGGAUGUACAAGUAGAAAUGUCGACAGCUCCUAAUCUUUGGAUUAUUAUAUUCGACACGAAUGUAGUAGAAGAAAACAAACUAUCACGACCCAAGUAGUCUGGUAUACAAUUUAGUAUAAAAAUACAGCUGUAUGAGGAGAACUUCCUUUCCUAAUGAAA